CAGGCCUUGACAUCCAAUGAACUUUCCAGAGAUGGAUUGGUGCCUUCGGGAACAUUGAGACAGGUGCUGCAUGGCUGUCGUCAGCUCGUGUCGUGAGAUGUUGGGUUAAGUCCCGUAACGAGCGCAACCCUUGUCCUUAGCUACCAGCACGUAAUGGUGGGCACUCUAAGGAGACUGCCGGUGACAAACCGGAGGAAGGUGGGGAUGACGUCAAGUCAGCACGGCCCUGACGCCCUGGGCGACACACACGCUACAAUGGCCGGGACAGAGGGUCGCCAACCAGCGAUGGGGAGCCAAUCCCACAAACCCGGUCUCAGUUCGGAUCGGAGGCUGCAACCCGCCUCCGUGAAGUGGGAGUUGCUAGUAACCGUGGGUCAGCACACCACGGUGAAUACGUUCCC
rnacentral:rRNA from 1 species